GCAACCAAACCUAUGCAACCAAAAACCAAGCCUGGAAAAUUCUACAUCCUUAAACUCGGAGGAAGCUUCACUUCCUCCAUUUGAUAGCCCGUCAACAUUUCCACCUCCAAUUCAAGAUCCAACAAUGCCGGAGUUUCCUUCAAUGCCUCAGCUACCACGACUGCCAGCAUUGCCUCAACUUCCACCUCUGCCAUCUCUUCCAGGACUCCCAUUCCUUCCUCCAAUGCCUGGAAAGACUCCCGAAAAAAAACCUGAGGAAAUUUCCAGGGAAACAAAACUAUCAGAAGAGAAGCUAGGUCCACCUAGACUUUUCGAUAUUCCUCCAUUGCCCCCAAUCCCUUUUCUGCCCCCGAUAUCAAUCCUUCCUCCGAACCCGCUCCAGCCGCCUUCUCCGGUUUUGCCUCCGAACCCCUUACAGCCGCCGCCGCUCUUUCCACCGAACCCCUUACAGCCGCCGCCAUCUCCAUUGAUUCCUUUGCCACCAGUUCCAGGACUAACUCCACCGCCGCCGCUCUUUCCACCGAACCCCUUACAGCCGCCGCCGCUCUUUCCACCAAACCCUCUGCUGCCACCGCCAUCUCCAUUGAUUCCUUUGCCACCAGUUCCAGGACUAACUCCACCGCCGCCGCUCUUUCCACCGAACCCCUUACAGCCGCCGCCGCUCUUUCCACCAAACCCUCUGCUGCCACCGCCAUCUCCAUUGAUUCCUUUGCCACCAGUUCCAGGACUAACUCCACCGCCGCCGCUCUUUCCACCGAACCCCUUACAGCCGCCGCCGCUCUUUCCACCAAACCCUCUGCUGCCACCGCCAUCUCCAUUGAUUCCUUUGCCACCAGUUCCAGGACUAACUCCACCGCCGCCGCUCUUUCCACCGAACCCCUUACAGCCGCCGCCGCUCUUUCCACCAAACCCUCUGCUGCCACCGCCAUCUCCAUUGAUUCCUUUGCCACCAGUUCCAGGACUAACUCCACCGCCACCAUUUCCAUUUCCUCUGCCUCCAUUCCCGCCUCUCUCCCCUGG
rnacentral:lncRNA from 1 species